UUCAAAGACAGAAGGGCAGA
rnacentral:miRNA from 1 species